UGUUUACACACCUCCUGGAUCCUGAUUGGUCGCUGCUUCAGCCGCAAGGCGCCGAUUGGAUGCUCACAGACCGUAAUACAGCGCAGAUGAACAUGAUUCAGACUACGGCGUUUAUAUGUUCAACAAUAGCAAACGUAGUCUUAGCUGUUUUAAAAUUACACCAAGUUUAUUUCGGAUUAUUCCAACGGAAGAAUACAAGGCGCAGGGAAGUUUGAGGUGCGUAAACGCCACUUAUAGGAAUGUUGAAGGGCUGCAGCUCGCAUGCUGCAGCGUGGCGGUUCAUUGAGUUUCUGAUUGACAGCGUGGGAGAGAAGAUGUCGUCUGUCGCCCAGCAGCAGAGAGAACGAACAGACAUUCGUAACUCUGGAGUUGCACUUGACUGCGUCAUUAGAGACGCUCACACGUCCCGAUGAACUUGGGGUUUGAAUUUGCUUUAUUUGUAGAGAAUUUAACUUGUUUGUGCUUUGAGUUGCCUGACAUCAUUUUUUAGAAGCAUUAAUCAAAAUGUUCCAUAUCGGAAACAUGUUCAUUGACUAAAUAUUCUCUUCUUCUUCCGCCUGAUGUCUGAUUACAGGAGGAAGUGAGUCAACAAUUGAAAUCAGGCUUAAAAUGUCGACUGAAACCUUUGUGUGUCAUUUAAUACACAAACGCUCAUUAACUCAAGAUCAUUGUUGUUUCACUUCAUUCAAGUAAACAAGUAAUAAAGAACAUGUGAUUCUCUUUGGUCUGAAGAAAACAAGACGGAUUCAUUUGGUUUUAUUUUUAUUAAAAGUAUUUUCAUUGUUAAAAUAAUAAACAGACGACAUAUUUAACAAUAAUAAUAACACAAUCAUUGGGAAAAUAUCUGAAGCAGUUCCUGAAAAGAGAGAAAAGAAAAGUUAUUAACAUGUUAAUGUUGUUAGUGUGUCUGUGUGUACAUCUAAAUGUUAGUGUGUCUGUGUGUACAUCUAAAUGUUAGUGUGUCUGUGUACGUCUAAAUGUUAGUGUGUCUGUGUGUACAUCUAAAUGUUAGUGUGUCUGUGUGUACAUCUAAAUGUUAGUGUGUCUGUGUGUACAUCUAAAUGUUAGUGUGUCUGUGUACGUCUAAAUGUUAGUGUGUCUGUGUGUACAUCUAAAUAUUAAUGUCUUUGUGUACAUCUAAAUAUUAGUGUGUGUCUUUGUUUAGUACCAAAUGUUAGUGUGUGUCUUUGUGUACAUCUAAGUGUUAGUGUGUGUCUUUGUUUAGAACCAAAUGUUAGUGUGUCUGUGUGAACAUCUAAUUGUUAGUGUGUCCCGAUGACGUAGCGUGCUGAUGGCGUCUUGUUGGUCUGCAGACAAGGAGAAGAGACGUGAGGAGGAUCAUCAGGAUGUGUCCGUGUGUACAUCUAAUUGCGUCCUGAUGGCGUCCCGAUGACGUGGCGUCCUGAUGGCGUCCUGAUGGCGUCCCGAUGACGUGGCGUCCUGAUGGCGUCCCGAUGACGUGGCAUCCUGAUGGCGUCCUGAUGACGUAGCGUCCCGAUGACGUGGCGUCCUGAUGGCGUCCCGAUGACGUGGCGUCCUGAUGGCGUCCCGAUGACGUGGCAUCCUGAUGGCGUCCUGAUGACGUAGCGUCCCGAUGACGUGGCGUCCUGAUGGUGUCCUGAUGACGUAGCGUCCCGAUGACGUGGCGUCCUGAUGGCGUCCCGAUGACGUCCUGUUGGUCUGCAGACAAGGAGAAGAGACGUGAGGAGGAUCAUCAGGAUGUGUCUGCGUCCUGAUGGCGUCCCGAUGACGUGGCGUCCUGAUGGCGUCCUGUUGGUCUGCAGACAAGGAGAAGAGACGUGAGGAGGAUCAUCAGGAUGUGUCUGUGUGUACAUCUAAUUGUUAGUGUGUCUUUGUGUACAUCUAAAUAUUAGUGUGUGUCUUUGUUUAGAAUCAAAUGUUAGUGUGUCUGUGUGUACAUCUAAAUAUUAAUGUGUCUUUGUGUACAUCUAAAUGUUAGUGUGUGUCUUUGUUUAGAACCAAAUGUUAGUGUGUCUGUGUGUACAUCUAAUUGUUAGUGUGUCUGUGUGUGGAUCUAAUUGUUAGUGUGUCUGUGCGUACAUCUGAUUGUUAUUGUGUCUUUGUGUACAUCUAAAUAUUAGUGUGUGUCUUUGUUUAGAACCAAAUGAUAGUGUGUCUGUGUG
ensembl:lncRNA